GCACAAACUCGUGCGCCUUCUCCUUCGAUUUGUCACCGCUGCUCAUCUCUUCUUCAAGGGUUUUCACCUUCGAUUCGUCGUCGCUCAUCUCUUCUUCACCGUUGCCAUUCAUCACCGCGCUCACCAAUGUCAAAGAAACUGUGUGCUCUCUAGCGACCUCUUCUCUGCUCUACUAUGAAGCAUCAAGGUUUCCAAUGAGGCAAAGCAUCGAUCCCUUACAAGCGAGAUAAUUAACUGAAGUGCUGAAGCCAAUUUAUAUCCUGGUGCAAUAACUUCGACAGUUAAGUGCUGAAGCUUGGGUAGAUAUAUUCUAAUAUUUUCUUUGAUUAGUUUCUUUGCUUCUCACUAAGGACAUUAUUUUGUGUUAUCAGCUUCAAAUUAUAGAGGCAGUUGGAUACUUACUUUCUCCUUGCUCACAUGUGAUCUGUCAAGCUUAAAGAAUGGACGCUUGUCCUGUUUACUUCUAUUAAGAAGUUCUAAGGUAUGCUUGGAUUCAUUGACAUGAUUGCAACAGCAACGGUGUUAAAAUAAAUGGUAAAAAUGUAAUAGAUGAUGAAAAAUAGAAUCCUUAAUCAUUUUGUUAUAUAUAUAAUAUGAGGUGACAAAAGCAAUAACACUGACAUGAUAUAAUUAU